UGCUGUUGCUGAAAUUUUCAGAAUGUUACUUUUUUACAUCAACAGCUUGUUUCUUUCUCUGGCCUUUAGUCCUCCAUCGUAUUACUUCUUCUUUAGAUGGUUUGCUACGUUUUUUGUAACAGCGACUGUUUCAUUCAUAGGUGGACUAAUGAUAUUUGGUAUUGACUGAAAGACGUCGUCGAUAAUGAAUAUGUUGUACAUAAGUGGUUGAGAUAUUAUUAUACACUUUUCUUCUUAUAUAAAGCUU